GAGAGAGCGACUCUGCUGAGUACAAGUUCAGGUUCACAACAAACCAAGAAGGUGGAAGAUAUACUGGUUCACCUGGAGUCACUUUGUCUGUCACAGGUCUCCAGGUACAGAUACGUGGAUCAAGAUCAUGCCGUUCUGAAACCUGUACAUGGGCACAGCUGAAGUGUCACAGCAGUUGUAGCCUACCUGGUCGUUCUUCCUACCUCUGGUACAAGAAUGGAGAGAAAAUAAAUAAAGAAACAUCAUCUUCUUAUUCAGACUACUUUUAUCCUCCUGACAGCUAUUCCUGCGCCCUUAAUGCAUAUAAGGAUUCCCCCUCUCCUUCAGUGUGUGGCCAUGGACAUUCAUGCAACAC